GGCCACCAUUUUACCUGCAUUUCUGAAUCCACAGAUUAUGGCACAGAUAUAAUCAUUAGUGGCGAAAACACUUUGGAUAGAGUUAAAUGUUAUAAAUGCUUUAGAAAGGAAAAUCUUAUAAUCCUCUCUUUGCUGUAAAUUUAACAACUUGUCAGGUCAUUAGGAGCACUUCAAAAGAUGUAUUGAUCUUAUCUUUAGAAAUGGAAAACACAAUGCAAGAAGAAAAAUGAUUGAUGCUAGUAUCUGAAGCUGAAAUCCACAUAAUCUUCCUCUUAAGGCAAAGGGAAAUUUGUACUGCACAAGUUUUAGGGUGGUCAAGCACCUGUAAAAACAGCUGAGUGUAGGUCAACACAAAGAAAGAAGAGUAAAAGACAAAAGGUGAAUGGGCCCAUGAGAUAAGGAGUUGACAAUGAUUAAUGAAUGAGAUGCUGGAAGAAAUAUUUUGAGAUUGAAGGUGAUAUUGCAUUGCAUAAAGAUUUAGAGUUAGAAAUCCCAGCUUUGGGGGAAAUUAUUUACCACCUAUUUUUGAGGGUUUUUUUUCUUUUGUUUUCUUUGUGUGUGUGUGUGUGUGUGUGUUAGUAUAAAAUAGAAGGAAUAGGUUUGUUGCAGUGAUUAUACAGAUAAUGAUUUAGCAUCAUGGUUUUUUCUAGGUUUAGGGGUGGCACAGUUGAGAGGAUUGGUCUCAAACUCAUGGAUGGGCCAAUGGAAAGGUUGACGUUCUGGAGCAUUUUUCUGUGCUAGCAGCAGGAAAUAAGUUAUUGUAGCCUUCGAUGUAAUCAACACUGAUAAGCACGAAGACCUAGGGACCUAAGAGUGCCAGUCACUCACGAACAUUCCAGAAGGAAGGAUUUCUGCUGAGAGGGAGAUUUGAUGAAGAGAAAUAUCUCUGAGCAUAUACAGGAGGACAUCUUCCCAAUUUAAGAAAAUUUACUAUAGCUGUAGGGACAGUGGUUAAAUCGUGCUAAGUGACACUUUAAAAUUGGGCUGCAUAUUUGGAAAAGCUGUUGUGACAGAGAUAGCACAGCCUUGCCAUUAGUGUCCUGGUCUCCUUUUUCCCUGGGUUAUGUUUUUAGAAAGUGAACUGACAUCCAUAAUUAGAUACAGUCCUGGAGAUACAUGCGGUUGAAGCCACGUGAGUACAUGAACACCAAAAUCCCAGGUACUUCCGGUGAGUUUGUGCAUUAUUUCAUGCAUAGCUAGUUUCCUGAAAUUAGAAGCUUUGUACUUCCACUUACAUCUUUCCUUAAUUAGUUUUGAAUUAUUUAAGCUGUUAGGCUAGAGAGGUUAAAAUGUCUGGGACCAAAGUCUCAGGUGAACUGGAUUUCCUAGAAACCAUCUUGAAUCUACAAUUGAUUGGGAGUGUAGGUAGGUGUUUGGCAGGUUGCAUGUUAGCGUUAAUACGCUACAUCAGAGUAGAUGGUUUUAUGUUUUCAUUUCUUGGUUACUCUUUGUGGUCAGAUGGACACCCAUUUCUCUCCACACCUCUUUCAUGGCCAGGACCCGUGUGAGACACCUCAGACACACUGGUCAAGGAGACUUGGACUUGCUCAGAUUCCCGAGCUGUGCCCCUCCUUGGAUUGUGUCUGAAGAGUCUCUCCCACUCCCCAUAUUCUCUGCCCUCCCUUUUUCUGUUUAUUUCUUCUCUGUCAGUAUAUGGAGAGAAUGACUGGCAGAUUGUAUCUGCAAGGCACUUUUAAUUCCAGAGAACAAACAUGUGGCAAUAAUACCAUAUGGUAUUGAUAAUAUUUUAGUCAGAAUAUUUGGGGCUUAAAAUAUUUAAAUUGUGAGAAUUAAGUAGACAGAAUAUUUAGUUCAGCUAACAUUCUCCUGGUUAUGUGGCAUAGGUUACCAUAUAACCACCGGCUUCCUCGGAAAGAUCUCACCAUAUGAGGAAUCUCCUGAUCUUUUACGUUUAAUCGUAGAACUUCAGACAUACUUUCUGUGAUGUUCUCUCUUCUCUGUUUUUAUUCAAAUGCCUCCUCAACUCCAUAUUCUUAUUUCCUUCUUGGAGUUUUAUUCUUCUUCCUAUUUACAUACUGUAUACACUGAAGAGAUAGAGCAGAAGGAAAGAAACACUUACUUAUUGAGUCUUCUGCUGGGUGAGUCCCUUGUUUGAUAUUGUCCAUCCCAUAAUUUCAUAUAUCUAAUUAUUGUGUUUCUAAGAUGCCACGAUAUGUAUACUUUUUCUAUGAAAAGAAUUCUUAAGAGUCCUAGUGUUCAUGACUCACAAUAAUAAAGGCUUUAUUUCUCCCUCUUGCUCAGGUUUCAAUAACAAAGGUAUUUUUUAUCGUUAUAUAUGUAUAGCUAUAAAACCUAAAUAUCCCUGAGCAAAUCUGGCAUUGAUUUCAUCUAGCAUUAGCUCAAAAUAAUGUGACUCUCUCUUUUUACCCUUAGGACUUAAACACAGGUUUCUUCCUUAUCAAUAUAGGCAUAUAUAUGGGUAUAGAUAGGUAGUUCAUUGUUAGGAUAAAUAAAGUACAAACCACUCAAGUACAGCAUCUCUGUUGUAGCCACAAUUAUUUAUUUUGCCUGGAAAUGAUUGAUCUGAAUUGAAUCAAAGCAUAAGGCAAAUCUUGUUCCUUCAUCACCCAGUAGGUCACAUUACAACCAGUUAACCUUAUUACAGGAGACAGAUAUAUCCUGUAAGGGAAAUGGCUGAAUGUUUUCUCAUGUGUAAGUCAGAACAACACAGUCAUGAGCAUAUAUGCAUUACCUUCCCAUUGAAGGGCAGAAAGGCCAAGGACAUAGUCCGUAAAUAGUAGAACAGAUUCAAAGUCAACCCUAUUUGACUCCAGAUAUAAAUCUUAAAUCCAACUAUACCAUUCAUGAGUUUCACCAUAUUUAUUUCUUUAAAAAUUAGUAAAAUACACAUCACCUAAAAUUUACC